UAAUGUAUGGGGAUCUGCCCGAUAGAGGGGGGUAACUACUGGAAACGGUGGCUAAUACCGCAUAAUGUCUACGGACCAAAGCAGGGGCUCUUCGGACCUUGCACUAUCGGAUGAACCCAUAUGGGAUUAGCUAGUAGGUGGGGUAAAGGCUCACCUAGGCGACGAUCUCUAGCUGGUCUGAGAGGAUGAUCAGCCACACUGGGGCUGAGACACGGCCCAG
rnacentral:rRNA from 1 species